AUGCGGGCACGGUGGCAAGACUUUCUGGUGGGGUUCGACAUGGUCCUCGAGUACAAGCCCGGGAGGACCAAUCAAGUUGCCGACGCACUAAGUCGAAAGGCCGAGUUGGCAUCCAACAAGUUAGAAGAGAUAGCGGACAUGAGCCAACUCAAAGGGGACAUCCCCGAACGCAUAAGAGAGGGGUUGGAAAAGGACCCCGUAGCCCAGACCCUGCUGAAAAACGUGAGAAGCUUCAGUUAG